rnacentral:rRNA from 1 species
CGCAAGCCUGACGGAGCAAUACCGCGUGCGGGAGGACGGCCUUUGGGUUGUAAACCGCUUUUCUCAGGGAAGAAGUUCUGACGGUACCUGAGGAAUCAGCAUCGGCUAACUCCGUGCCAGCAGCCGCGGUAAUACGGRGGAUGCAAGCGUUAUCCGGAAUUAUUGGGCGUAAAGCGUCCGCAGGUGGUUUGUCAAGUCUGCUGUUAAAGCGUGGAGCUUAACUCCAUAUCGGCGGUGGAAACUGAUGAACUAGAGGGUGGUAGGGGUCACGGGAAUUCCCAGUGUAGCGGUGAAAUGCGUAGAUAUUGGGAAGAACACCAGCGGCGAAAGCGCGUGACUGGGCCAUUACUGACACUCAUGGACGCAAAGCUAGGGGAGCG